GGCUAGAGUUUGAUCAUGGCUCAGGAUAAACGCUGGCGGCGCACAUAGGACAUGCAAGUCGAACGGACUUAACCAUUAGUUUACUAUUGGAGCGGUUAGUGGCGGACUGGUGAGUAACACGUAAGCAACCUGCCUGUUAGAGGGGAACAACAGUUAGAAAUGACUGCUAAUACCGCAUAUGCCAUAGUGAGGACAUCCUCACAGUGGGAAAGGAGCAAUCCGCUAACAGAUGGGCUUGCGUCUGAUUAGAUAGUUGGUGGGGUAACGGCCUACCAAGUCGACGAUCAGUAGCCGGACUGAGAGGUUGAACGGCCACAUUGGGACUGAGAUACGGCCCAGACUCCUACGGGAGGCAGCAGUCGGGAAUAUUGCGCAAUGGAGGAAACUCUGACGCAGUGACGCCGCGUGCAGGAAGAAGGUUUUCGGAUUGUAAACUGCUUUAGACAGGGAAGAAACAAGACAGUACCUGUAGAAUAAGCUCCGGCUAACUACGUGCCAGCAGCCGCGGUAAUACGUAGGGAGCAAGCGUUAUCCGGAUUUAUUGGGUGUAAAGGGUGCGUAGACGGGAAGUCAAGUUAGUUGUGAAAUCCCUCGGCUCAACUGAGGAACUGCAACUAAAACUAACUUUCUUGAGUGCUGGAGAGGAAAGUG
rnacentral:rRNA from 1 species